ACUUCCUCGUAACUUAACCCCACGCGGGAGUCCACAAGGGCUGCUCCAAUGGAGUAACAUCUCAUUCAUUAAGCUUGGUUCCCAUGAAAACAUCUUGAAAACAUUUCAUACAAAAGGAAAACAUUUAGCUUACCACCUUGUGAUCAUGUGCAACAACAAAGGACUAACCAACACUAGGCAAAGCACAACUCUACAACGUAUCUUAUAUCCUUUUCUUAACUUUACUCUAUCACUUUACUACACAUUCUUUCCAUUCAUAACCUUUAUACACAUCAUGUCCUUCUAUCAUGUCCACAACUGUACUACUUUACACCAAUCUUGCAUAAUAUAUAUAUGCCACUCAAACAACUCUAAGCUAUACGAUUACAUACAAAACACUAGCCACAACAUGACUCUGCCAUCUCUGACUUCUCAUAGCUCACUCUGAAGACUUCUGGUCUCCCACAACUAAGACUGGCCCUGCAAAACUGGGGAAGGGAAAGGGAUGAGCUACUAGAGCCCAGUGAGUAGAAACCAUAUAAACAGUUCAUUCACGCAUUACAUGCUCUCAUGAAAUGUGUCACAGCACAAACAUAUCACAUCUCGGAUUAGACAUGAUCCCAGAACUCCCUCUGUCGGUGCCCGGCCCCUAAGGAGCUCCCAG
rnacentral:lncRNA from 1 species